rnacentral:tRNA from 1 species
GCGUAGCCGAGCACCUGGGUCAGUUCGGCGUUGUUGAAGGUGACGCCGAUCCCGUUCUGGCCCAGUGCCACGCC